rnacentral:lncRNA from 1 species
UGGACAUCCUUGUAUAACAUAUAAUUCUGACAUGGCCAUUGACAACUUGCUUAAUCUCAAAAUCAGUGUCCCAGGCAGGAGAUCUCCUGUGAUUUGCACUGACUCUGACAGGCUGAGCCAGGUUGCCCAUUCCAUCCAGCCAAGCAGAGAAAGGAAUUGUGACAACUUGCUAUCUUAACAAGAUCUUGGAAAUAGGGGAUCCAGCAUCAUUUCCUUCUCAGGAACCUCUGAUUUGUUCAAGUAUGUUUGAACUGUCUGUAUGUGCUUUUGUCUGGACAAGAGAUGCAGAAAGGACAUUGUGUAAGUGCAGGGAAAACUGAUAGAAAGAUGGCGCUUUCCCUUCUCAACAGUGGGUGCCCAUACUGAUAGGAAAAUUGAGGACAGUUUAUAUCCCACUGGACAUGGAGAAAAGAAGCAGGAUAGAUUCAGGCAGUUU